GAUCCGGCUCAGGAUGAACGCUAGCUACAGGCUUAACACAUGCAAGUCGAGGGGCAGCAUUCCAGUUUGCUUGCAAACUGGAGAUGGCGACCGGCGCACGGGUGAGUAACACGUAUCCAACCUGCCGAUAACUCGGGGAUAGCCUUUCGAAAGAAAGAUUAAUACCCGAUGGCAUAAUAGAACCGCAUGGUUUGUAUUAUUAAAGAAUUUACGGUUAUCGAUGGGGAGUGCGUUCCAUUAGGCAGUUGGG
rnacentral:rRNA from 1 species